CUUGAAACUGUAACUCUCGUUCAGGAGUUGGGGAAAAUAAAGAUAGGGGUGUGUGCGCGUGUGCGUGUGUGUUUUCUACCAGACUGGAAUAAUAUAACAGAUAAAAGGAUGGAAGUUAGCAAAGAAGAAUUUAACUGAAGGAGAAGUGUUACGUAGGAAAAAUCACGAGACUGCAGUUGGAAAACUAGGUUGGAGCUCCUCGUGGAAGAGUUUGCAUGACAAACUACAAAGCAGGGAGCCACUGAAGCUACUUUGGAAUACGGGAAUUCACCUGUUUUUUACGUACUCAGCUGCCGUGCAUUGAGCCCUUCCCACAAGCCAGCCGUUUGCUAAGUGCUGUGGAUCAGCAAAGCUAAAAUUCACUUGGAUCCUGACUUCAAGCAGCUUAGCGUCUAGCAGUUGAUAUUAGAUAUGUAUAUAAGUAACCAUAACACAAAAUAGAAAGUGGUGUAUCGUGUGAAGUAAAAACUGGGAAGCAAGAGGGAUUGCUUCCUGCAGGGGAUGAGAGCAAAACGUAAUAGAAGAUUUUCAGGUGAAGGGAAGGUUGAUCUUGGCAGUAAGGAUGUAUUGAAGACUUGAGCAAGAGAAGCCACUUAGAAGCUACCAAGGUUUUUUGUAUAUCAUCUUAUAUUGAACAUAUGCAAUUUUAUAAUGUAACAAUUUAGAUUGCUUAUAUGUAUGGAAUAAUACGUAGAAUGCAUGUGGAUAAACAAAUUGUGGUGUAUUCAUACAAUGGAAUACCAAUUUAUGGCCAUAAAAAGGAACAAACUACUGACUCGUGCAACAACGUGGAUGAAUGUUCCCCCACGUUAUCGUGAGUAAGAGAAACUGGAGGCGAAAGAGGAAAGCCUGAGAUGAAUGUCAUCUGUCUGAAUGCAACAUGGAAACUUCAGUGAAUGUGUUAGAACAGAACUCGUAUGAGAGCAUCAGCCAGAAACACAAUGGAGCUCCCAGAUAGAAGUGGUUGGAUGGAGCCAGGAACAGCAGAGAACUCCGGCCGAGGGGUGACCCACCAGCAUCGUUCCACCAGCCUCCAGCGAUGGUGGGUGUGGACUUGAACUUCCAACUUCAGUCUAGGCCAAGGGGAGGGCAGUGAGAGGUUCGCAUACCCAUCAUCCCUUCCAUGCCCAUAAAGGUUCCUAAAAUAUCAUUCGUUAGCCCCAAACUGUAUGAGACCCUCCCUCCUAGUGUUCCCCUGUGCAACUGUCACAACAUGAUUAAUCUAAUUUGCAGUAUUAUUUGUUUGCUUGUCUUAUCUCCCUGCUCUCUACAUUCUUAUGUUAUGUAAGUACCUUGAGGUCAGGGACAUCUCUAGAUGAUCUUUGUACAAGUCAUUACAUGAAGAAAAUGCUCAAUAAAUAUUUGUGUUU
rnacentral:lncRNA from 1 species